AACUCACUGGUUGUACAAGCUGCUAAUGCCAAGAGCAAAUGCUAAAUCAUAAGACAUCACUCAGAUAUGUAAUGUCUGCUCUUUAACCCUUGCUUUGCACCAGAAAGGUACCCAUCAUCUGAAGUUAUUGCUUAGCACAAGUAAGUUGCCAUUUCUGGCUUUGCCAGAUAAAACUAGAAACAAGAUGUAGAUUUUUUUUUAACAGUAUUAUUUAUGUGAGUUUAAUAGAUAGGUAGCAUAAUUAGGGAUUGAAAGUGCUUUCAGUUGAUCUUUGUAGCCACAGUAUUUCUUUACAUUAUGCCUGCGAUGCUAUGCUCUCAUUCUCUCCAUUCAGUGAUAGCUACGUUUAUGAUCUGUGCAAGUUCCAGACUCCAGCAAUCAACCACUAUCUGGAAUUACUGUAAGUUGUUCACCUAAAAUUUUCCUACUUGGAAACUGGUAUAACAUUAGAUUAAUGUGCAGGUUUCUACUUCUGUAGCGCAGUGUAGUUUCAGUCAUCAGGUGAUCCCUAACUGGAGAAUAUACCCUUGUUUUUGUGAGAAACUGUUUCAGUAAAUUUUCCUUUGAAGAACAAGAUAGUUCAAAGUAGUAGUGAAAUUACAAUGAUCACUAAUUUUUUUUAAGUAUGU